rnacentral:rRNA from 1 species
UACGUAGGGGCCUAGCGUUGUCCGGAUUUAUUGGGCGUAAAGAGCUCGUAGGCGGUUCGGCAAGUCGGAUGUGAAAUCUCCACGCUCAACGUGGAGGGGCCAUUCGAAACUGCCGUGACUCGAGUCCGGUAGGGGAGUGUGGAAUUCCCGGUGUAGCGGUGAAAUGCGCAGAUAUCGGGAAGAACACCCGUGGCGAAGGCGGCUCUCUGGGACGGUACUGACGCUGAGACGCGAAAGCGUGGGGAGCGAACAGG